AAUAAGCGGAGGAAAAGAAACCAACAGGGAUUGCCCCAGUAACGGCGAGUGAAGCGGCAACAGCUCAAAUUUGAAAUCUGGCUCCCCCGGGUGCCCGAGUUGUAAUUUGCAGAGGGUGCUUUGGCGUCGGCAGCGGCCUAAGUUCCUUGGAACAGGGCGUCAUAGAGGGUGAGAACCCCGUACGUGGCCGCCCGCCUUCGCCGUGUAAAGCCCCUUCGACGAGUCGAGUUGUUUGGGAAUGCAGCUCUAAAUGGGAGGUAAAUUCCUUCUAAAGCUAAAUACUGGCCAGAGACCGAUAGCGCACAAGUAGAGUGAUCGAAAGAUGAAAAGCACUUUGGAAAGAGAGUCAAACAGCACGUGAAAUUGUUGAAAGGGAAGCGCUUGCAGCCAGACUUGCCCGCGGUCGUUCUUCUUCCGCGGGCAGGCCAGCAUCAGUCUGGGCGGUUGGAUAAAGGCCCUGGGAAUGUAGCUCUCUUCGGGGAGUGUUAUAGCCCGGGGCGCCAUGCGGCCAGCCCGGACUGAGGUCCGCGCAUCUGCUAGGAUGCUGGCGUAAUGGCUGUAAGCGGCCCGUCUUGAAACACGGACCAAGGAGUCUAACAUCUAUGCGAGUGUUUGGGUGUCAAGCCCGGGCGCGCAAUGAAAGUGAACGGAGGUGGGAACCCCUCGGGGCGCACCAUCGACCGAUCCUGAUGUCUUCGGAUGGAUUUGAGUAAGAGCAUAGCUGUUGGGACCCGAAAGAUGGUGAACUAUGCCUGAAUAGGGUGAAGCCAGAGGAAACUCUGGUGGAGGCUCGCAGCGGUUCUGACGUGCAAAUCGAUCGUCAAAUUUGGGCAUAGGGGCGAAAGACUAAUCGAACUAUCUAGUAGCUGGUUCCUGCCGAAGUUUCCCUCAGGAUAGCAGUAACGUUUUCAGUUUUAUGAGGUAAAGCGAAUGAUUAGAGGCCUGGGGGUUGAAACAACCUUCACCUAUUCUCAAACUUUAAAUAUGUAAGAAGUCC
rnacentral:rRNA from 1 species